AGAGUUUGAUCAUGGCUCAGGACGAACGCUGGCGGCGUGCCUAAUACAUGCAAGUCGAACGCUUCUUUCCUCCCGAGUGCUUGCACUCAAUUGGAAAGAGGAGUGGCGGACGGGUGAGUAACACGUGGGUAACCUACCCAUCAGAGGGGGAUAACACUUGGAAACAGGUGCUAAUACCGCAUAACAGUUUAUGCCGCAUGGCAUAAGAGUGAAAGGCGCUUUCGGGUGUCGCUGAUGGAUGGACCCGCGGUGCAUUAGCUAGUUGGUAAGGUAACGGCUCACCAAGGCCACGAUGCAUAGCCGACCUGAGAGGGUGAUCGGCCACACUGGGACUGAGACACGGCCCAGACUCCUACGGGAGGCAGCAGUAGGGAAUCUUCGGCAAUGGACGAAAGUCUGACCGAGCAACGCCGCGUGAGUGAAGAAGGUUUUCGGAUCGUAAAACUCUGUUGUUAGAGAAGAACAAGGACGUUAGUAACUGAACGUCCCCUGACGGUAUCUAACCAGAAAGCCACGGCUAACUACGUGCCAGCAGCCGCGGUAAUACGUAGGUGGCAAGCGUUGUCCGGAUUUAUUGGGCGUAAAGCGAGCGCAGGCGGUUUCUUAAGUCUGAUGUGAAAGCCCCCGGCUCAACCGGGGAGGGUCAUUGGAAACUGGGAGACUUGAGUGCAGAAGAGGAGAGUGGAAUUCCAUGUGUAGCGGUGAAAUGCGUAGAUAUAUGGAGGAACACCAGUGGCGAAGGCGGCUCUCUGGUC
rnacentral:rRNA from 1 species